rnacentral:rRNA from 1 species
GACGAACGCUGGCGGCGUGCCUAAUACAUGCAAGUAGAACGCUGAAGAGAGGAGCUUGCUCUUCUUGGAUGAGUUGCGAACGGGUGAGUAACGCGUAGGUAACCUGCCUGGUAGCGGGGGAUAACUAUUGGAAACGAUAGCUAAUACCGCAUAAAAUUGAUUAUUGCAUGAUACUUAAUUGAAAGAUGCAACUGCAUCACUACCAGAUGGACCUGCGUUGUAUUAGCUAGUUGGUGAGGUAACGGCUCACCAAGGCGACGAUACAUAGCCGACCUGAGAGGGUGAUCGGCCACACUGGGACUGAGACACGGCCCAGACUCCUACGGGAGGCAGCAGUAGGGAAUCUUCGGCAAUGGGGGGAACCCUGACCGAGCAACGCCGCGUGAGUGAAGAAGGUUUUCGGAUCGUAAAGCUCUGUUGUAAGAGAAGAACGGGUGUGAGAGUGGAAAGUUCACACUGUGACGGUAUCUUACCAGAAAGGGACGGCUAACUACGUG